GCCAGGUGUGGUGGCUCACACCUGUAAUCCCAGCACUUUGGGAGGCCGAGGCAGGUGGAUCACUUGAGGUCAGGAGUUCAAGACCAGCCUGACCAACAUGGUGAAACCCUGUCUCUA
ensembl:misc_RNA Metazoa_SRP Metazoan signal recognition particle RNA